rnacentral:lncRNA from 1 species
GCAUGUAACUCGGUUCAGUCUAGGAGUCAAUAAAGUUGCUAAGUUGAGUAAUUACAGGAUUAUAUAGUCUCCCAUAGUAGUUGUAGUAGUAGUUUGUUAUACAGUUUUAAUUUCAAAAAAAGGGACGAGACAAGCGAAAAAACCCCGUCUCGGAGAUAAGAAAAAUGAAAAUGAAAAAAAGUAAUAGAAAAUUCAAAAAAAAAAAUUUGUAAUAGAUUAGUUGAAUAA